UUUCGAAUCAUUCACAAUGGGCGAAAGCCUGAUGGUGCGACGCCGCGUGGGGGACGAAGGUCUUCGGAUUGUAAACCCCUGUCACCGGGGACAAAACGUCGUUUGUUAAUAGCAAGCGGCCUGAUUUAACCCGGAGAGGAAGCAGUGGCUAACUCUGUGCCAGCAGCCGCGGUAAUACAGAGACUGCAAGCGUUGUUCGGAUUCACUGGGCGUAAAGGGUGCGCAGGCGGCCGGGUGUGUCGGGUGUGAAAGCUCGAGGCUUAACCUCGAAACUGCGCCCGAAACUAUCCGGCUAGAGUACUGGAGAGGGAGGCGGAAUUCACGGUGUAGCAGUGAAAUGCGUAGAUAUCGUGAGGAACACCAAUGGCGAAGGCAGCCUCCUGGACAGUUACUGACGCUC
rnacentral:rRNA from 1 species